rnacentral:lncRNA from 1 species
UGAACCUGAAUCCUAGCGGGUGGGUCGAUUAGAGUCCCUGCUUGUACCUGCGCGCACAAAACAAAAAGCAACGUCCCCAGGCAAAGGGACGUCAGUACGAAUAAAAAUGUACUGGUAUGUAAAGAGAAAAGUAAAAUCAUAAACAUUUACUGUAAAAGGGUAAUAGAGAUACCACCUGAAACUGAAACCCAAAUAAUCUCCAUGGCUGACCUUUAG